rnacentral:misc_RNA from 1 species
UCCGGUUUGACACCGGCAGUCUCGCUAGAGUGCCCGGCAUGACCCGAUGGCAACUAACGACAGGGGUUUCGCUCGUUAGGGGACUUAACCCAACACCUCAAGGCACGAGCUGACGACAGCCAUGCAACACCUGUACUGGUUACACCCGAAGGCAAUCCCCCCACUUUCAUGGGGUUAAUCCCAGCAUGUCAAACCCUGGUAAGGUUCUUCGCGUUGCUUCGAAUUGAGCAACAUCCUCCACCGCUUGUGUGGGCCCCCGUCAAUUCCUUUGAGUUUCAGCCUUGCGACCAUACUCCCCAGGCGGCGAACUUAACGCGUUAGCUUCGACACUGAGAGCCUGAUUGCUCCCAACGUCCAGUUCGCAUCGUUUAGGGCGUGGACUAC